AGGACGAACGGCUGGCGGCGUGCUUAACACAUGCAAGUCGAGCGAUGAAGUCCUUCGGGAACGGAUUAGCGGCGGACGGGUGAGUAACACGUGGGUAACCUGCCUCAUAGAGGGGAAUAGCCUUUCGAAAGGAAGAUUAAUACCGCAUAAGAUUGUAGCUUCGCAUGAAGCAGCAAUUAAAGGAGUAAUCCGCUAUGAGAUGGACCCGCGUCGCAUUAGCUAGUUGGUGAGGUAACGGCUCACCAAGGCGACGAUGCGUAGCCGACCUGAGAGGGUGAUCGGCCACAUUGGGACUGAGACACGGCCCAGACUCCUACGGGAGGCAGCAGUGGGGAAUAUUGCACAAUGGGGGAAACCCUGAUGCAGCCAACGCCGCGUGAGUGAUGACGGUCUUCGGAUUGUAAAACUCUGUCUUCAGGGACGAUAAUGACGGUACCUGAGGAGGAAGCCACGGCUAACUACGUGCCAGCAGCCGC
rnacentral:rRNA from 1 species